rnacentral:rRNA from 1 species
GCUGGCGGCGUGCCUAAUACAUGCAAGUCGAGCGGACAGAAGGGAGCUUGCUCCCGGAUGUUAGCGGCGGACGGGUGAGUAACACGUGGGUAACCUGCCUGUAAGACUGGGAUAACUCCGGGAAACCGGAGCUAAUACCGGAUAGUUCCUUGAACCGCAUGGUUCAAGGAUGAAAGACGGUUUCGGCUGUCACUUACAGAUGGACCCGCGGCGCAUUAGCUAGUUGGUGGGGUAAUGGCUCACCAAGGCGACGAUGCGUAGCCGACCUGAGAGGGUGAUCGGCCACACUGGGACUGAGACACGGCCCAGACUCCUACGGGAGGCAGCAGUAGGGAAUCUUCCGCAAUGGACGAAAGUCUGACGGAGCAACGCCGCGUGAGUGAUGAAGGUUUUCGGAUCGUAAAGCUCUGUUGUUAGGGAAGAACAAGUGCGAGAGUAACUGCUCGCACCUUGACGGUACCUAACAAGAAAGCCACGGCUAACUACGUGCCAGCAGCCGCGGUAAUACGUAGGUGGCAAGCGUUGUCCGGAAUUAUUGGGCGUAAAGGGCUCGCAGGCGGUUUCUUAAGUCUGAUGUGAAAGCCCCCGGCUCAACCGGGGAGGGUCAUUGGAAACUGGGAAACUUGAGUGCA